rnacentral:rRNA from 1 species
CCUACGGGAGGCAGCAGUGGGGAAUCUUGUGCAAUGGACGAAAGUCUGACACAGCCACGCCGCGUGCGGGAAGAAGGCCUUCGGGUUGUAAACCGCUUUCAGCAGGAACGAAAAUGACGGUACCUGCAGAAGAAGAUGCGGCCAACUACGUGCCAGCAGCCGCGGUGAUACGUAGGCAUCAAGCGUUGUCCGGAUUUAUUGGGCGUAAAGAGCUCGUAGGCGGUUCAGCAAGUCGGGUGUGAAAACUCUGGGCUUAACCCAGAGCCUGCACUCGAAACUGCUGUGACUAGAGUUCGGUAGGGGAGCAGGGAAUUCCUAGUGUAGCGGUGAAAUGCGCAGAUAUUAGGAGGAACACCAAUGGCGAAGGCACUGCUCUGGGCCGAUACUGACGCUGAGGAGCGAGAGCGUGGGUAGCAAACAGGAUUAGAUACCCUGGUAGUCCACGCCGUAAACGAUGGGCACUAGGUGUGGGUCUCUAACCAACGAGAUCUGCGCCGUCGCUAACGCAUUAAGUGCCCCGCCUGGGGAGUACGGUCGCAAGACUAAAACUCAAAGGAAUUGACGG